rnacentral:rRNA from 1 species
CCUACGGGUGGCAGCAGUGAGGAAUAUUGGUCAAUGGGCGCGAGCCUGACCCAGCCAAGUAGCGUGAAGGAUGACUGCCCUACGGGUUGUAAACUUCUUUUAUAAAGGAAUAAAGUGAGGCACGUAUGCCUUUUUGUAUGUACUUUAUGAAUAAGGAUCGGCGAACGCCGUGCCAGCAGCCGCGGUAAUACGGUGGAUACGAGCGUUAUCCGGAUUUAGUGUGUUUAAAGCGAACGUAUUUGGGUGGUUAUGUCAGUUUUGAAAGUUUGCGGCUCAACCGUAAAAUUGCAAUUGAUACUGGCAGUCUGGAGGACAGUGGAGGUAGGCGGAAUUCGUGGUGUAGCGGUGAAAUGCUUAGAUAUCACGAAGAACUCCGAUUGCGAAGGCAGCUUACUAAACUGCCACUGACAUUGAUGCUCGAAAGUGUGGGUAUCAAACAGGAUUAGAUACCCUAGUAGUC